rnacentral:rRNA from 1 species
UACGUAGGGGGCAAGCGUUGUCCGGAUUUAUUGGGCGUAAAGAGCGUGUAGGCGGUUCGGUAGGUCCGUUGUGAAAACUCGAGCUCAACCUCGAGACGCCGAUGGAAACCCUCGAACUAGAGUCCGGAAGAGGAGAAUGGAAUUCCUGGUGUAGCGGUGAAAUGCGCAGAUAUCAGGAAGAACACCCGUGGCUAAGGCGGCUCUCUAGUACGGUACUGACGCUGAGACGCGAAAGCGUGGGGAGCGAACAGG